rnacentral:misc_RNA from 1 species
GAAAUGCGAUAAUUAAUGUGAAUUGCAGAAUUCAGUGAAUCAUCGAGUCUUUGAACGCACAUUGCGCCCCCUGGUAUUCCGGGGGGCAUGCCUGUCCGAGCGUCAUUGCUGCCCUCAAGCACGGCUUGUGUGUUGGGCUUCCGUCCCUGGCAACGGGGACGGGCCCAAAAGGCAGUGGCGGCACCAUGUCUGGUCCUCGAGCGUAUGGGGCUUUGUCACCCGCUCCCGUAGAUCCAGCUGGCAGCUAGCCUCGCAACCAAUCUUUUUAACCAGGUUGACCUCGGAUCAGGUAGGGAUACCCGCUGAACUUAAGC